AUGUGAACAGUUGAGCGAAGUUCAGAUUGUUGAGGUUGAGUAUAGACUUAAUACUAUCGAAAAUCUAUAUGAUAAAUACGACGUGUUACAGGCCGACAUGGAAGAGAUGGUGGACGACCCUAGCGAGCAAUAUGCGGAGCGUGAGGAGUUCGAAAAGCAGUACUACAGCUUGGUGGCUGCAGCACGUCAGCUGAUCAGCAAUGCUCGCAAGCAAGCUUCAGGGAACUCCAUAGCCGAGGUUGAUGUUUCUUGUUCUAAGCACACACACAAACAUAAUUCUAUCCGUUUGCCUAAAAUUGACCUUCCUAAGUUUUCCGGCAACUAUCAUGAUUGGUUAGAGUUUAGAGACACUUUCAUUUCUAUAAUACACGAUAACGACAGCAUAGAUAACAUAAAUAAAUUACAUUAUCUUCGUGCCUCCUUAAAGGGUAGUGCUUCCUUAAUUAUUGACAAUCUUGACUUUAGAUCUGAUAACUACGACGCUGCCUGGAAGUUGCUCUGUGAUAGGUACGAUAAUAAAAGGUUGCUGGUUAAUAACCACGUUCAAUCACUUUUUAAUGUGCAGUCCAUCAGAAAGGAAUCAAGUAAGUCACUAAGACAUAUUGUUGACACCACAAAUAAAAAUUUAAGAGCAUUAUCUACACUGGGUCAACCUGUUGAGUACUGGGACACACUGAUCAUUUAUAUAAUGACAUGUAAACUUGACCAGGUGACAAACCGAGAGUGGGAGGAGCACAGGAACUCAUUGUCAGAACCUCCAACAUUGGCUGUAUUUAUUGAAUUCAUUCGUAACAGGGCUGAUUUAUUAGAAACGCUUGAGGAAUCCAAGUCAUUGUUUACUAAAGGCGAAGGUGUACAUGUCAACAAUAUUAAACAAUAUAAACAUUCUUCGGGUUCAAGUGAAACGUCUCGCAGUCCUUUAUCAUGUCCAAUGUGUCAAAAAGAUCACUUCAUUUUUCAAUGCGAUAAAUUCAAAAGCUUGCCUGUACAAUCACGUAUCAGUAAAGCUCAAACUUCCAAUGUAUGUUUAAAUUGUCUUCGACCAGGUCAUAAUAUUUAUAGAUGUAAAUUGGGUCACUGUAAGUAUUGUCGUGAGAAGCACAAUACAUUGUUGCACUUUGAUCGCGAUACCGUUGUUCCUAACCAACCGACUAGUACUUUAGCGUCUAUCAAUCACCUUUCUACAUCUCGAGUUGUCUUACUUUCCACAGCGCUGGUGAAUGUGUCGGAUGCUGAAGGCAACGUUCAUACUGCACGAAUCCUGCUGGAUAACGGGAGUACGACUAACCUUAUGUCACAGGAGUUGGCUCGUCAACUUAACAUUUCCACCUAUACAGUCGAGUCUAAGGAUACAUCGGUGGAUCACGUGUGAAUCAUCAUCUUCUAUGCAGUUGCAUGUGUUCACCGACGCAUCUGAAAGGGCGUAUGGUGCUUGUUUGCAUGUCCGCAGCGUAUCGCUUAGUGGUCCAGAACGAUAACGUAAACAACUUGCAGCGGUUCCGUCGCAUCGAAUGUUUGAAGCAACAUUUUUGGCCACGCUUCUCACCUGAGUACAUUUUGUGGCUCCAACAACGAACCAAAUAGCUCAGAUCGUCAGGGGAACUUACAGAAGGAACCCUUGUCGUCAUUAGAGAUAAAAGCUCACCUCCUCUGUUAUGGCUUUUAGGACGGAUCGUUAAGGUGCUUCCUGCUAGAGACGGCAUUGCACGAGUCGCCGACAUCCGCACACGUAAGGGUGUCAUUCGGCGAGCGUUCAACACAAUUUGCCCGUUACCCGUCGCCACUGCUGUUGAAGACACUUCAACGGGGGGAGUAUGUUGAGUCGUCCCACUCGCUUCAACUGCGUCUACGACAAGUGGGGGUGACUGUGACGUCGUGGUACAACGGCUCGCCGCGUAUGCGCCGGGUCCAGAGGUCAAAUCUUGCUUAUGCGCACCGGCCGCGCCCACGCGUUCUUACUACUUUAAUUCUUAUUUGCUUAA